GUGGGGAAUUUUGGACAAUGGGCGCAAGCCUGAUCCAGCAAUGCCGCGUGCAGGAAGAAGGCCUUCGGGUUGUAAACUGCUUUUGUACGGAACGAAACGGUCCGGGUUAAUACCCUGGGCUAAUGACGGUACCGUAAGAAUAAGCACCGGCUAACUACGUGCCAGCAGCCGCGGUAAUACGUAGGGUGCAAGCGUUAAUCGGAAUUACUGGGCGUAAAGCGUGCGCAGGCGGUUUUGUAAGACAGGCGUGAAAUCCCCGGGCUCAACCGGGGAAUUGCGCUUGUGACUGCAAGGCUGGAGUGCGGCAGAGGGGGAUGGAAUUCCGCGUGUAGCAGUGAAAUGCGUAGAUAUGCGGAGGAACACCGAUGGCGAAGGCAAUCCCCUGGGCCUGCACUGACGCUCAUGCACGAAAGCGUGGGGAGCAAACAGGAUUAGAUACCCUUGUAGUCC
rnacentral:rRNA from 1 species